UUGCCCAAGGUCACACAGCAGGUAGAUGGCAGAACUGGGAUUUGAAUCCAGAUAGUCUGUGCUCUGAACUCAGUUUACUGCUCUGCUGGGCUUCUUCAACUUCAUGUCCGUGGCUUGUGUGACCCAUCUUUGGCCUCCACACAAGGACCAUGGAUGCGGCCUUACUCUGGGGGCAGCAGGAUGAGGCAGCCAGGAAGCUAGGCUGUCCUCUGCGGUCAGGUCUGGGUUGGGGCUCCCUGGGAAGAGAAGGUGAUGCCAGCUGCUGAGGGGUAAGGACAGGGUGCAGGGCCGGGGGCAAAGAUGGGCUGGGAUCAGGGUCUGAAGCCAGAGGAGGGCAGACCAGAGGGAGGCCGCCCAGCAGUUCCAGCAUCCCCGGGCCUUUGAACCUGUGGACCCAGGUGGUGCUCCCUCUUCAUGCCUGGGGCCAGGCAUGCGGAGCUCAGCGGGAACCAUUCCUCAGGGGAAUCCAGCAGGGCCGCUCUCGGGGUCCAAGUUUCCUGCCACCCACAGCUGGUUCUGAGAGGAAGCCUUCCCUGCCAACCCUUCUUGGUGCUGGGCUCAGAAAAGUGACUUCUAAUCUGGGGUUGGGCCCUUACCUCCUCCUGGAUCCCUCAGAGGUUCUGACUCAAGUCCCCUAGAAGAUGUGAAAAUGGGGACGGCCGAGCUCUUUCCUAGCCCCGAACUUCAGGCAGGGCAGCCCCUCCAGGUGGACCUUGGGAACGCAUGAGGGCAGGGGACAGACCCACCUGGGUUCCCAGCAGCUCCUCCCCCAGAGGCCAGGACACGCUCUGCUACUCAGCCUCCUCUGCGGGGUCUCGGGCUGGGGCCCACACAGGGCCUUCCCGGGCCUGCGAGGGCGUCAGCUGUCUCGGGACUGAGGAACAAUGGCUGGGGUGGGGGUCCCCUCCUCCCUGACGGCUUCUCGCCAAGCUCUCCUGCCACAUGCUCCUCUGCAGACGGACCCUCCUCUGCCAGUGUUUCCCUGCUCAGUCUUCAGCGCCUCCGCUACCCUGACCCCUCCCUGGUGAUCUGAUUCACUCCCGGGGACUCAGGGAACCUACUGUCAAUGAUUCCCAAGCCCACAUCUACAGACCAGCCUUCGCCCUGUGAAUCCAGCUGCCCCAGGCAUCUCUCCCCUGGAAAUCCCGUGUCCGGCAUUGAACCCUCACUCCCCCAAAACCUGCUCUUCCUCAAGUGCCCAGCCAGCCAGUCAGAAACCAGGGUGACUUCGUUGAUUCCCUACUCCCCACGUCCAGCAGCCGAAAGUUCUGCCAACCACCCCUGCCAUCCGCCCCCAUCCCUUCCAGAUGUGACCCUGCCUCUGUCACACCUCUGCAAUCUCUCUGUUCCCUGUACCACACCUUAGUCAUGUCUGGGUCUCUCCCCUGCAAUCCAUCCCCACGCACGGCAUCCCCCUCUUCAGCUUCAUCCCUGGCGCGGGCACCCUGGACCCUACACUGCAACCCUCCUGGACCCCCUGCCUUUUCCUCAAGGCACCCCCCUAUAUUAGUCAGCCAUCACUUUCUUUCUCCACUGGCUCUUUCCUCAAAGGCUAACACUGCAUCCGGUGGACACAUGUGAGUGGCUGCCUGGUUCCCGACGACUUCCCCUUUUCUGGCUGGGACUGACCUGGAACAAACAGAAACGUCACUUGCUGCAUGCCUGAACUCUAUUUGCACGAUGAGCCUAUAGACUAUCAGUUCCCUUUUGGUAGAUUGCUCUUUGAUUCGUGAAUGAAAAAUCCCUUAAACCACAUCACUAUUGAAUGAAAAUAUUGAAAUUGUAUCUGUAAGAAACAUUUAAAGCAAAGAAUAUAUUAGUUUUUAAAUUGGUAUUUUAAUUUUUAUAUAUUCAGGAAAGAACAGAAGUGAUUGAAUAUUGUUCAUUAUACCACUGUGUGCUUAGAAAAGUAAGAAGCAGUCAGUUUCAUAUCAGUGACAGCAUUUAGAGUUAUCAUUGUGUUGGAUAAACCAUAUGUCCUGGAAUUAUUUUAGUAGGUUUCGGUAGUAUUAACUGUAUUUUCCCACGGGUUCAGAUUAUUUCCGGUGAAUCUUUGUCAACGGUUCCUUUUAAAUACAGAUCAAUAAGUUCCAAAAACCUGCCACUUUUUUGAGUCUUCAAUGUAAAAUCCUUAAAAUAAAGGCUGUCUCUUUUUUU